AAAAACAUCGCCUCCCGCAAAAAUCAACGUAUAGGAGGUCCUACCUGCCCAGUGACUAUAAGUUUAACGGCCGCGGUAUUUUGACCGUGCAAAGGUAGCGCAAUCACUUGUCUUUUAAAUGAAGACCCGUAUGAAUGGUGGAACGAGGGCUUAACUGUCUCCCCCCUCUAGUCAAUGAAAUUGAUCUACCCGUGCAGAAGCGGGUAUUAUAAUACAAGACGAGAAGACCCUUUGGAGCUUAAGAUAAAAGACCAACUAUGUCAAAAGUCCUAAAAAAGACUAAACUAAAUAGCACUGGUCCCCAUCUUCGGUUGGGGUGACCACGGGAGAAAACAUAGCUCCCAUGCGGACUGGGGAAACCCCCUAAAACUAAGAGAGACAUCUCUAAGGCACAGCACAUCUGACCAAAAAGAUCCGGCUACAUGCCGACCAACGGACCAAGUUACCCUAGGGAUAACAGCGCAAUCCCCUUUCAGAGUCCAUAUCGACAAGGGGGUUUACGACCUCGAUGUUGGAUCAGGACAUCCUAAUGGUGCAGCCGCUAUUAAGGGUUC
rnacentral:rRNA from 1 species